rnacentral:lncRNA from 1 species
CGAACUCCUGGCCUCAAGCAAUCCACCCACCUCGGCCUCCCAAAGUGCUGGGAUUAUAGGCGUGAGUCGCCGCACCCCCAGCGAUACUGACUUUAAGUGACUAAAUCAUAGUUUAUGGUGUUUGUUGACUACCCAGCAUCUUUCUCACCCUUUUCUUUCUUCCAAACAGAAUCUCAGUUUUGUUCAAGUAUUUGCCUUCUGCAAACACACACACACACACACACACACACACACACAAUUUAAGAAAAGCUGGUCCCAAGAAUGGGUCUUUAUUCUAAAAAGCUAAAUAGCACCUAGAAUUUCCAGCACUUAAUAUUGUAUUGAGUGGUCAUAUGACCUAAGUUGGCACAAUGAGCUGAAGGACAUUACCCUUAAUCCUUAAUUGUGAGAAAGAUUUUUUUUUCUCUUUUCUACUAGACAAAAAUAUGGAAGGGUGUAGCUCCAAUUGCCACCAGCAACCAUCUUCGACUCUGAGGCAAAUCACCAGAACUGAGCACAGGGGCCCUCGGUAAACAUUACAGAAUGAAUAAAGUAAUUAAUGAUGAAUCUGAACCUUUCAAACACCCUUGCGAGGUUUCCCUUGGGACCAACAGUAAUAGCAUUUGCUAUGAAUGCAAAAGUUAUGGCUGAGCAGGCACUUUUUGUAUCUGGAGGUUUGGGACCACCUCCUCUUGGGUACAUUAACUCGUAAGUGACUCCACUUCAUUCUGUUGUCUUAAUUAGGACCUGCCUGACAAUCAUUAAAAAAUCAGGAAACAACAGGUGCUGGAGAGGAUGUGGAGAAAUAGGAACACUUUUACACUGUUGG